rnacentral:rRNA from 1 species
UAAUAGACCGGUUCUCGUUAGAUCACCGAAGUCAAGCAUCAUUGGGCGCGGUCAGUCUUUGGGUGGGUGACCACCUGGGAACACUGCGUGCCGUU